rnacentral:rRNA from 1 species
UACGGAGGGUGCGAGCGUUGUCCGGAAUCAUUGGGCGUAAAGGCGCGUAGGUGGCCCGGUCAGUUCGUGGUGAAAGCGCGGGGCUCAACCCUGCGUCGGCCAUGAAUACUGCCGCGGCUGGAGCACUGUAGAGGCAGGCGGAAUUCCGGGUGUAGCGGUGGAAUGCGUAGAGAUCCGGAAGAACACCGGUGGCGAAGGCG